AUCAGAGGAAAUCAACACAAAAAGAAUUGAAAAGGGGUGAGAAAUCGAAAUAAUAGAAAAAGAAGAGAAAUCGAUAAAAAAAAAAAAAAAAAAAAAAAAGGGAAUUCAAUAAAAAGAGGAAGAGAAAUCGAUAGAAGAGAAAUUCAAAUCAUUAAAGAAAAAAAUGGAAUCUAUAAAAAAGAACAAGAACAAAAUCAAUUUAUAGAAAAAAGAAUUAAAAUCGAUAAUAACAGAAGAGGAAUUAAAAAAGAAAAAAAAAAUUGAUAAUAGUAUACAUGAUGGCAUGAACAAGAGGAAGAAGAAGAUGAAAGGAGAAUGGAUAAAUCAGACAUAGAAGGUAUAGAAGGUAAGGGUGAGGCUAAAAUUAGGAUUUCUCAUGUUAAUUAGAACCCAACAUAAACUUAGGGGUGUAUGUUUAACCUCUACAAACUAAGUUCCCAAGAAUGUAAGAUGGGAAAUAUUUACUCACAUGUUUGAUAUACAUAUACACAAAAACAUUCUAAGGAAUUAAUUAUACCCAGAAUUGUCCACAAGCCACUGUAUGUACAUGCGAAGAUAUUUGUGCAGGAUUGGCACCCGUACUACUAGAUGGAAUUGAACCCUGCGAAACUGGUAGGUUGGUUGUUGUGUCUGACGCACUGGCGGCAUUUGAUGUCGCGGAGGAUUGACUUGUAGGACGCGUUAUUUUAGGAAGUUGUUUUUUACUUCUCAAUUGCAUACACAACACAAAC
rnacentral:lncRNA from 1 species